rnacentral:rRNA from 1 species
UACGUAGGGUGCAAGCGUUGUCCGGAAUUAUUGGGCGUAAAGAGCUCGUAGGCGGUCUGUCGCGUCGGCUGUGAAAACUCGGGGCUCAACCCCGAGCCUGCAGUCGAUACGGGCAGACUAGAGUGCUGUAGGGGAGACUGGAAUUCCUGGUGUAGCGGUGAAAUGCGCAGAUAUCAGGAGGAACACCGGUGGCGAAGGCGGGUCUCUGGGCAGUAACUGACGCUGAGAAGCGAAAGCGUGGGGAGCGAACAGG